rnacentral:rRNA from 1 species
ACUACGGGGGGCUGCAGUGGGGAAUAUUGCGCAAUGGGCGAAAGCCUGACGCAGCGACGCCGCGUGAGGGAUGAAGGUCUUCGGAUCGUAAACCUCUGUCAGCAGGGAAGAACGGUCACUGUGCUAAUCAGCAGUGAAUUGACGGUACCUGCAAAGGAAGCACCGGCUAAAUCCGUGCCAGCAGCCGCGGUAAUACGGAGGGUGCGGGCGUUAAUCGGAAUUACGGGGCGUAAAGCGCUCGUAGGCGUGAUGUCAAGUAAAGGGUGAAAUCCCCGCGCUCAACGUGGGAAGUGCCUGUGAAACUGGCAAACUGGAGUGUGUGAGAGGAUAGUGGAAUUCCAGGUGUAGGAGUGAAAUCCGUAGAUAUCUGGAGGAACAUCAGUGGCGAAGGCGACUAUCUGGCACAUAACUGACGCUGAGGAGCGAAAGCGUGGGUAGCAAACAGGAUUAGAUACCCUUGUAGUC